GUGAAAUCUCCAAGCAAACAUAUUCCUGCUUCUCGCCUCUCGUUGCUCGCUACUCACAAACCACUGUGCGCUUGCUGCUCGUUAUUCACCGUCGUUGGGCUUCCACCACCGAUUGCUCGACUGUUUUGUAGUUACAUUGUCUUUCUCGUUAAGCCGCCAUUUAAUCCUCCAACAUAGAUGAAGAUGAAAUGCAUAAUCUUCAUCGCCUAAGCCUUCAUCUGGAUUGAAAUCAUCGGUUUGGGACUACCGUCGACACCCUUUCAUCAUCUCUGUUGCGAAACUGAUGGAGUAAAGCCACCGUGUCGGAGUUUCUCAUAUCUCUUUGAACAGAUUCUAUUCUUACAUAGCUUGCUGCCAGUACCAUCGAUAGGGAAUUUCCAUUUACAAUUGUCUUGGGAAAUAAUCAAUCUAUACAGAAACAGAAAUAUAUUUUAUUUCCUCAUAUAGAGUCACUAUAUACACAGGGAAAAAAUUAAACCAAUUGUAUCCUAUACUGUAUGAAGAGGAUAUAUCAACUUCAGAUGCAAGUGAAGAAAUUGCCAGCCUCUGUCAAAGUUGAUUUCAUAGCAGGAACAAAAAUUGUAUCAUGCCUGGAAGCUACUAGGAAUCUUGUAAUCAAGUUUAAUCAGAACUAUUGUGGGGCAACAAAUGUCUCCUGAUGUCACAUUCUUCUUCGUCACGUGGACCGAGUUCUCUUUCUCCUUCAGUUUUAAAGGUUCUAGGCACAUUCCUCCAACAUAGAAUUAUUUUCUUCUGACAAAAAUAUAACUUUUUAUGAUUCAUCAUAUUGAUUCAUCAUAUUGUUGCUCCUGGGGUUAAUAUUCUGGCUGCCUUGUCACCUGCUUAUUCUAGCCUAGAAUCUGAUACAAGUUAAGAUGUGUAUAUGCUAUUAACUUGAAAAUUGAAUCAGUAACUUCAACGUCAUGCCCCCACAUAUCUGAUAUCGUCGCAUUUGCUGCAAAGACUAUCCGCCCAACUUAGAGCCCCGCCGCAAUUAAAUCUUCCCUUGUCACAAUAGAUAAAAGAAUUUUCAAACCUUGUUGUCACAGUUUUAAACAAAGGUAUGACUGCGAUCUGGUUGCAACAUAACAAUUUUCUCCCUUUCUAUGAAGCUUCUCUAAAAAACGAAUGCAGUCAAUACAUUGGAGCCAAGGGAGUAUCGUACAAACAAGCUGGUCCAUUUGAUAAUUGUCAAUAAUUGUCAAUUAUAGCCUGUACACUUGCCUCACUUAAGGUAUAUACAAGUUAGGAAGUGUAUUAUUCCUAGUAACUGUGGAAUUAAGUCAUGUUCUCCCCACUUCUAACUUCCUGCAAUCCAUUUCCAUGCCGAUUGGGUACUCAAGAUUAGUCGUGGAUGUUCGAGGUUAUUGAUGUGAAGUCUUUGUGCUGCUUUAUGGCAAGUCGAGUUUGUGUCUAUUGCUCUGAUACGUAGCACUCGGGGGGGAUUAGUCGUUAUUGUUUGAUGAUUGUAUUUUAAGUUGAGUUGAAAGAUGUUCAUAAGUUGGAAGUUGUGAAUGAAGUUAUGUUUCUGAAUGCUAUGUAUCAUUAUUAAAUGCAAUAUAAGUAUGUUUGUUUGGUUAAGUCAAAUUAUGACAUCCCACUGCUUGAUUGAAAAUUUAAAUGCACUCUGAUUUUCGCUUAUAAUUGUAGGGUAGAUUUGGGGUGUUACACGUGGCAACACACUGGGAGCUCGCUAAGUGAGCCAUGUGUUAUAGAAUUUUAUUUUUGGCACCCCUGAGUGCAAUUUGGUUUCGUGAGGGUAACCAGACUCCUCCCCGACUAUUUCGAUGUACCUUGAGACUGUGUGCAAAUAGAGAUACUGUUGGUAAUCCAUGAUUGUAUGUUUUGCAGUGUAUGCUACAUGUUUUAUGUGAUGUUUAACUGCCCGAGAACAUUAUGAGUAUGUGCCAUAAAUGUAAGAUAUUAUAUAUGUGAUGUAUGAUUGUGUUAUUUCCCGUCUGUUCCGGUUGAACAUUCAGACGUGAUUGCCUGUGUAAUGACAUGUAUAUGUACUGUGCUGUGUGAUCUCGGUGAUGUGUGAUAUAUACUAAAAUCAGAGUAGGUCUGGCUAAUAGAUGAUAAAUCACUUAAGACCACGACUAAUGCUGUGUGAUCUUUAGUGUGUGCCAUGUUGUGUAAUCUUGGAUACCUUACUGUGUGAUUCGGGUAUUGUCUUACGCACCUGAGCUACCAAAGGUGGUGUGCAAGUGCGGGUCUAUAUGGCGUUUCCCACUUGGGUCUCAUCGGUAUGCUUGGUAUGGUGAGGUAGUGGUACCAUAUAGGAUGCAUUUCUCGGUUAACUCACCUCUAGUGAUGUCACGUAGAUAAUCACUAGGCUUUCGCCCGGUGGGCUCAUGUAGUCUUAAUGGCGUCUUUGUACAUUGAGGCGAUCACAUUGGCGUUUAGUGAUUGAUGGGUUUAGAUGCCACGUAGUCAAGUCACCACUGUAACUCUCACGGAUAAACCACGUAGGACUUAUCCGAUUCACUUGCGAUGUGCGUGUACAAGUCUCUUGACAAUUAGACAUGGGCGUAACUCACCGAGGAUGUGGAUGCGUAAUCUAUGUAGCAAGUAAACUUACUCUUGGAUUCCCCGUACACGGGUGCAAGUUGUAUAUUGGAUUUAUUGGCUUAUACUUGUUGUUGUUGCCACAUUGGAUAGUUAUGGGACUUCUAAUGGCGGUUUACCUUGUUUGUACUUGUACCUGGCCGUGAGGUAAACCUGGAUUCUCGAUGAAUCCAUUUGAUUGCAUGUUCCCUGUAGAACCGAGUGAACCUGUAGGAUAGGAGGACUCACUGAGAUUUAGUAAUCUCACCCCAAUCAUCUUAUCUUUUUCAGGUGCAGUUUAGAAGUGUUUGAUUAGUAGCAAAUUUGGAUUGAAGACUUAGGAGUGGUGAUG